CCAACUUGUUUUCUCUUUGCAACUGCAAAACAAAUCAAUAUGCUAGUCGGAAUAACCACUCAGAGCCUCUUUGGAACACAUGGACAUGCCAAGGACAGAAAAUAUCAAGGUACGAGCUUAUAACUGUAACUAAUGCCAUCUAAAGUGAGGAAUCAUGUUAUCAGAGUAAACUUCUGUUAUUGCUCAAUAUACAAGCACUAUUAGCCCAAUUUUAGACGAUAACUACAACCCAUACCUUUCGCGUUAGUGCCUCUCUGAGUUCAGGAAGGCCCUCAUCAGC
rnacentral:lncRNA from 1 species